rnacentral:rRNA from 1 species
AUGAACGCUGGCGGCGUGUUUUAGGCAUGCAAGUCAAGGGGGCCAUGUAGCAAUACAUGGCAACCGGCAAACGGGUGCGUAACACAUUGGUAACCUACCCCUGUCGCGGCCAUAACCUGGAGAAAUCCGGGCUAAUUGCCGAUAGUUUCCCAUGCCGUAUGGUGUGGGAAUAAAGGUAUCGCAAGAUGCCGGACGGGGAGGGGCCUAUGGUCCAUCAGCUAGUUGGUGAGGUAAUGGCUCACCAAGGCGACGACGGAUAGCGGGCGUGAGAGCGCGACCCGCCUCACUGGGACUGAGACACUGCCCAGACUCCUACGGGAGGCUGCAGUCAAGAAUCUUCCCCAAUGGCCGAAAGGCUGAGGGAGCGACGCCGCGUGCAGGAUGAAGCCCUUCGGGGUGUAAACUGCUUUUCUUGGGGAAAAAUCUAUGAUGGUACUCAAGGAAUAAGGCGCUGCUAACUUCGU